CAUGCGUACACGUAUUCAAAAAAAAAAUACAUGCGUACACUAACACGUUCGUGUGAUGGACUCGGAUAUGUUUACCCGUCUUGUAAACCAGUCCGACAUGUGUGCACACACGUUCUCCCAAACCAGCCGCUUUGCUCGUCGGUGCUGGUGCUCCACGUGUACACGUCACCAGUUUUCUCUUCGCUCGCAGGUCGUGUCCAUCUCCCCCGGUUUCUCCCCUCCCCGCUGACACAAGACCACACACCCGUCAAAAGAAAAAACACACACCACCACGGCUAUGCUUCUUCCCCUGACGGACACAAGGUGGGUCCGGAGAGGAGAUUUCUCGAUCCCGUACGGAGUGCGCAGGCGGCGGAGGGAGAAGGCAAGGACGGUCGCUUUAGCGCCGUCGUCGUGCGGCGGUGCUUGGGCUGUUGGCAGCGGCGGCAUAGGAGACGGGGGAGACGCUAAUGUCCGUCAAGGCGUGCUUCGGCAACAUCGCCAACGCGCUCGUCGACUGGGACGGCGGCCGCGACCACUGCCCCUGGCGGGGGUCGUCGCCUGCGACACCAACUCCUUCGCCUGGAGGAAGCUCAAAGGAAGCAAGACUUCAACAAAAAUCUCUGAAUGCAUUCCAAGCUUCUGUACGGCGUACGUCGUUUCAAAGGGCAAACUGUCAUUCGUGCACUCUUACACCUGAUGCCUAUGAAACACCUAAGACCAUAUCUUCUUCAACCGUUUCUUCUCCUAGCUCUGGAAGCCUUUCCAGUGCGCCCUCAGAGUGGGCUGUCAGAAAUGGAACAUCAACUGUAUUAUUCCGCCAGUCAUCUCUGCCAUCGCAAUGUGAUCACACACUCGUAAAUAUAAAUAGGUCAAUCCUGAAGCUAGCCCUUUAGGCAGUGCUGGCAGCGAGAUCUCUUACCAUGCUGAUACAACCCUGAAGACAAAUUCACAAUCAAUCACAUCAGUAGCGCAGCUCAGUAGCAGCAGCAGUGGAUAUUCAGUUUACAGGAGCUUCCGGGGAGAUAGCUUCUGAGAUAUCUUUGAUCUGCAGGAAGAAGUUUCAGAAACUGCAAGAGACCUUAGGCAUUCUCAUUCCCAGGAUGAUAUGAAGCUUCAAAUUGAGAGUAUGAAGGUCAAACUGCGACAUAUAUUCUACAGUUGUGGCUAUGGACAACUUUUGGCCAGUCCGGUGUAUUCUACAAUUGAGGCAAUGGAGCACUUUUGACCAGUCUAGUGUAUUCUACUGUUGUGGCACUGGAGUAGUCAUUAUCCACAAAACCAGGUAUGUUGUUGUUACCAUGUAUCUAUGUGAACAUAAAUCGUGAGCACUGGAUAAUAGUAUUUAUGAUAUAUAUACAAUGUAUAUUUUUUCCAGUCUAUGCUAUGACAUUGUGAGCCGUAUCUAUUUUGUGCACAUUUUGCUUUGUACUUAAAAAAUCCCCCCUCCCUCUUUGCUGCUUGUCAUGCUCAGACACCGGCAGAUAGGACAAAUAAACCAUACACAAUACAUGUACAUAUGAGCUGAAAUACACUGGGCAUCCUAAAGCCAACAUGGAAAAAUAAUGAAACAACCUGAAAGAACGAAUGCAACAAAUGCAAAAGCAUAUAAUAAUGAAGGUCAGAAGGUCUAUGAAAAUUACCUAGCUGUUUUUUGUGGACAAGAAUCAGUUAUUUCUAGUUCCCUAAUUCUGGAGCUA